GGGGGGAGCUAAAGGUUUCUGCUUUUCUUUUUCUUUCUAUUUGUUUGUUUUGCCCAAGGUCUAGAUUCAUGAAUAGUAAACCAUGCACAUAAGACUAUAGCAGAAAUACGAGAUCUACAUGGCUUCAGUGACUUAAAUGUGUGUAGGUGUGAUUAUUGCCUUGGAAAUACUUUCAGCUCAGAGGAGGAUUUCAAGAAAACUUGGCAUCAUUUCUGAUGCGAUUCCUCCCAUGUCCCUUUGUAGUAAUACAUUUCUCAUUUCAUUCCUAAGAUCUGUCCAUGGCAACCACAGAAAGUAGGCUACCCAAUGCCUGUCCAGAGUUCACACAGGGUGCUGGGUCAGGCCGUCUGUCAAAGUCUGCGCCGCCAAUCACUCUUAGCCCACCCUUACACAUUACCCUUUUCCUCUUUGUUUUUUGUUUUUUUUCAGAGCACAAUAUUUUGCAUUACUCAAUAACCCUUGUGGCUUAUCAAGUGAAACUGUGAAUGCCUGUCAGAUGAUCAUUGGUUUGGACAGUACCAAAGAAGAAGAAGCAGCUAGCAACGUCCAGUUGGCACCACACUGGUCUGGUAAGAUUGGUAAGAUUGGUUGGCACCACACUGGUCUGGUAAGAUUGGUAAGAUUGGUUGGCACCACACUGGUCUGGUAAGAUUGGUAAGAUUGGUUGGCACCACACUGGUCUGGUACGUCAGAGUAAAGAACAACUCCUUGGGCUCCAUUUCAUUAGUUGUGUUUUAUUUACAUUAGUUGUUUUUUAUUUACAUUAGUUUGUUUUUUAUUUACAUUAGUUGUUUUUUAUUUAUAUUAUUUGUUUUUUAUUUACAUUAGUUGUUUUUUAUUUACAUUGCUUGUUUUUUAUUUACAUUAGUUGUUUUUAUUUACAUUGCUUGUGGCAACAGUGACCAAGAAAAGUCUUUUUGAGGCAGAGUGAUCAGUUGGAUCUCAGUAAGAGAGGGGGAAAGAAGUGCACUGGAAAGAGAUCAAGGCAUGUGUAAAUACUGCAUGGUCACCAGUCCUUUGCCACCAAUACAGCAAGUUGUCUCUGAGCUACUGCAGCUGCGAGUCUGAAUACUUUGGCAGUAUGAGUGGAAGUUAUGCAUGAAAACGCUAGUUUACUGAUCCACCCGGUAAGUUAUCAUGGGCUCCCUUUAUAAUUCUGCACUAUCUAACAGUUUCUCCUGUGUGUGUGUGUGUGU
ensembl:lncRNA